rnacentral:tRNA from 3 species
GGAAGAGGUCCGGGUGGUGAGGAAGCCGCCUUGAAAGCGGUCGCCCCUUUGGGGUUGCAGGUUCGAAUCCUGUCUCUUCCGCCA